rnacentral:ncRNA from 2 species
AUGUUAUAAAGAAAGGACGAGGGAAUAGACCCGUUGAAGCCUUAGCAACCCUUGGAUUAAUGGUAUUUAUUUAUUCAUGAAGGUGCUACAUUCUACCAUAAUUUAAAUGGGAAGAUAACAA